rnacentral:rRNA from 1 species
CCUACGGGAGGCAGCAGUGAGGCAUAUUGGUCAAUGGGCGGGAGCCUGAACCAGCCAAGCCGCGUGGGUGAAGAAGGUCUUCGGAUCGUAAAACCCUGUUGUUAGGGAAGAAAGUGCGUGAGUGUAACUGUUCACGUUUCGACGGUCUCUACCCAGAAAGCCACGGCUAACUACGUGCCAGCAGCCGCGGUAAUACGGAGGUGGCAAGCGUUAACCGGAUUUAUUGGGCGUAAAGGGAACGCAGGCGGUCUUUUAAGUCAGAUGUGAAAGCCUUGGGCUUAACCGGAGUAGUGCAUUGGAAACUGGGAGACUUGAGUGCAGAAGAGGAGAGUGGAAUUCCAUGUGUAGCGGUGAAAUGCGUAGAUAUAUGGAAGAACACCAGUGGCGAAAGCGGCUCUCUGGUCUGAAACUGACGCUGAGGUUCGAAAGCGUGGGUAGCAAACAGGAUUAGAUACCCUUGUAGUC